GUUAAAAAUAGCUAUAAUUUUUAAAAGUUUAUAAAAUUUUUAUGUUUAAUUAAUUAUUUAGAAAUAAUUAUUUAAUUAAUAAUUUAAAGUAAUGUGAAUGAAUAUUUUUAAAUAAAGAAAAGUAGAAUUAUUUUUGUACCUUUUGUAUCAGGGUUGAUUAAAAUUUAUUUAAUAAAUUUAAAUAUCUCGAAAAUAAGUGAGCUAAAUUUGUAAUAUUUUUUUUGUUGCAAUAAAAUUAUAAAUAUAAAUUUAGAGAUUAAAUGUCAUUCGAACUUAUUGAUAUCUAGUUUUUUUAGAAAUAAAUUUAAUUUAGAUAUAAAAUUUUUAAUACCUUAAAAUUUAUUUAUAGUAUUAAUUUUUAUAUUAAAAAUUUAUGGGAUAAACUAUAAAUUUAUUUAUAAAAAUUUUUGAUUUUAUUUAUAAUAUUAUGAAGUUAAUAUUUUUUAUUAAUAUAAAAAAUUUAAUAAUUUAGUUAUUAAUUUUAAAAAAUUUAAAUUUUGAAUUUUAUUUAUUCUAUAAAAACAUAUAUUUUAAUUUUUAAGAUAUAGUGAUAAUGAUUAAAUUAGUAAUAAAAGUAUAUUUAAUAAUAUAUAAAUUAUUUAUAUAUAUAUAAUUUAAAGGAACUCGGCAAAAUUGAUUAUUCACCUGUUUAACAAAAACAUGGCCUAUUGAGUAUAAUUUUAGGUCGAUCUGCUCCAUGAAAUAAAUUUAAAUAGCUGCAGUAUAUUGACUGUACAAAGGUAGCAUAAUAAAUUGUCUUUUAAUUGAAGAAUUGAAUGAAUGAAUUGAUGAAAUAACAACUGUCUCUAUUUUAUUUAAUGAAUUUAAAUUUUUAGUAAAAAUUCUGAAAUUUAAUUAUGGGACGAUAAGACCCUAUAGAAUUUUAUUUAAUAUAAUUAUUUAUUUAAAUUAUUUGUGAAUAUAUAAUUAAUUUAAAUUUGAUUGGGAGGAUUGGUAAAUAAAAAUAACUUUAUCUAAAAAUUAAUUUUGAUGAAAAGAUUUUUUUUGACUUAUAAUUUAUGAUUAAAAGAAUAAAUUACCUUAGGGAUAACAGCGUAAUAUCUUUUGAUAGACCACAUUGAUAAAGAUGUUUGCGACCUCGAUGUUGAAUUAAGAGAAAAGUUAAACGCAGGAGUUUAAAAUUUUAAGUCUGUUCGACUUUUAAAAUCUUACAUGAUUUGAGUUCAAAUCGACGUAAGUCAGAUUGGUUUCUAUCUAUAAUAAAAUUAAAAUUAUUUGUACGAAAGGACUUUAAUUUUUAAAUUAUUUAUAUUAUUAAUUAAUGAAUAUAUUAAUUUG
rnacentral:rRNA from 1 species